CUGCACGUCUUUGUGUUGAUGAGGUAAGCUAUGCAAUUUCUUAAUUAUCUCAGUUUGAAAUUAUUAUUUUGCCAAAUUGCUUUCAUUGCAGGAAUGAUUGGAUAAAAUCUUCAAGCAUUUGGUGAUUUUGCCAACCUGUAGAGUUUCUGUUAUACUUCUUAUUAAACUGUUAUCUUUCCAAUGUUUCAUUUCUCAAAUAUCCUCUAUAAAAAAUGCUAUAUGAUGAAGAGAAUACGCUGAAUCCACAGUGAAAUCAAUGUACUUCAGAUAUUUGACUACAUAUCUCCCAUAAAUUUUCUAGAUUCCACAGUGAGACCAAUUUGCUUCAGAUAUUUGGCUUAUGUUUUAAUAUGUAUACAUGCA
rnacentral:lncRNA from 1 species